ensembl:lncRNA
UACAGAGCUGAUAGUGCAGGUGGCCUCAGGCCCUUGGGAGAAGCCUGGCUCAGCCAUCCAGGGCUCUUUGAUGUCCCACCGGAGGCUGCACCUGGGCGUCUGUCCUCUCCUUCCUAGUGGGGCUCCUAAGGUCAUCCUUUCCGUUCCCCAGCCAUCCUCCACCUCCACCUCCACAGCCACACUGCGUUUGGUUCUCAAACCACCCAGCAGGCUGGGACCUCAGACAGUCCAGGACACGCAGGGUGUGAGAGUGGGAGAGUGGGAGGGGACCACAGGAAUUAAAGUCAGCUCCUCUCAUCAUACAGACCAUGCUCCUGGUGCAUAAUGGAGGCUGUAGCUCAGAUGUCCCAGCUCCCAGCAAUGCCUGCUCCAUCAUCGUCAGGUCUCAGAGAAGAAUGGAUGAUGCGCCUGUGCCUGCAGUGACCCUUCACGUAGCACCUCCAAGACUCUACAUCCCUAAUUCUAUGCGUGUCCAGUUUCCACCAGACUGUUGAGUUUCCUGG